rnacentral:rRNA from 1 species
AGUGAACGCUGGCGGUAGGCCUAACACAUGCAAGUCGAACGGCAGCACAGUAAGAGCUUGCUCUUACGGGUGGCGGGUGGCGGACGGGUGAGGAAUACAUCGGAAUCUACUUUUUCGUGGGGGAUAACGUAGGGAAACUUACGCUAAUACCGCAUACGACCUACGGGUGAAAGCAGGGGAUCUUCGGACCUUGCGCGAUUGAAUGAGCCGAUGUCGGAUUAGCUAGUUGGCGGGGUAAAGGCCCACCAAGGCGACGAUCCGCAGCUGGUCUGAGAGGAUGAUCAGCCACACUGGAACUGAGACACGGUCCAGACUCCUACGGGAGGCAGCAGUGGGGAAUAUUGGACAAUGGGCGCAAGCCUGAUCCAGCCAUACCGCGUGGGUGAAGAAGGCCUUCGGGUUGUAAAGCCCUUUUGUUGGGAAAGAAAAGCAGCAGGUUAAUACCCCGCUGUUCUGACGGUACCCAAAGAAUAAGCACCGGCUAACUUCGUG